UAAAAGUGAUCUAAUUUGGUUAAAAUUAAGAUGGGCCUAAAUUAUGUCAUAAAGUAUGGGUUUAAAUGUGUAGAUACUCUAUAUAUAGUUUCUAAUUUUAUGACGGGCCAAAUUAGAAGUAGAGAAAAUAUAGCCAGAUAUAAAAGGGUUAUGGUCCCCAAAUUAUAGGCAUGAUUCUUUUUUGACAUCCCAUCAUUAGAAAAAAUAGAAUUUUCUCUCUUGAUCGUGAAUAUCAAUUUGGAAGGCCCAGAACUGCAAGAUCGCAAAAAUUUUGUCGAUAUCAUGGAUUCAGGUAUGCUUCCUCAUCCAAUUUAAUUUCUUGAUGAUUUGGCAUGAUGGAUUAUGGCUAGAUGGAAUCUAGGGUUUCUACAACAAUUUGGGUUUCUACAACAAUAUUAACAUAAAUAUUCAAUUUAAAUUAUUAAAUUUUUCCCUAUGAAAUUAAGUUUAUAUUAUGCAAAUGGUAUUUAUUUCUUUUUUAUACUGGGAUGACCAGAUGCUAGAGCAUUGAGGUGUGGGCUUUAUCAUGUUAGAUUUUAAUGAUUUCUUUGGAGAUUUGCG
rnacentral:misc_RNA from 1 species